rnacentral:tRNA from 1 species
GCACUUGUAGUUCAAUUGGAAGAACGUUGGCCCCCGGAGCCAAAGGUUGCAAGUUCGAGCCUUGCCAGGUGCACCA